UACGUAGGGUGCGAGCGUUAAUCGGAAUUACUGGGCGUAAAGCGUGCGCAGGCGGUUUUGUAAGUCUGACGUGAAAUCCCCGGGCUCAACCUGGGAAUUGCGUUGGAGACUGCAAGGCUGGAGUCUGGCAGAGGGGGGUAGAAUUCCACGUGUAGCAGUGAAAUGCGUGAGAGAUGUGGAGGAACACCGAUGGCGCAAGGCAGCCCCCGGGUCGAAGACUGACGCU
rnacentral:rRNA from 1 species